AUGGCGGUGAGCUCCAAGAACACCCACCACUCGCCGGCGGUCGUCUUCCUCCUCGGGGCCAUCUCGGCCACCGCGGUGCUCGUCUUCUUCUUCACCGCCACCGCGGGACCCGCAUGGCCCGCGGCGACCACGGAGCUCUCUCCUCGGAGGAGCCAGGAGGCGGCCCGGUCGGCUCCAGCGCCGACGCCCAAGGCCUCUUCUACCACCAAUGCGACGGGCGGCGACGACGCGUUCGCGCGGAUGCUGCGGCGGGCGGCGAUGGAGGACCGGACGGUGAUCAUGACGUCGGUGAACGAGGCGUGGGCGGCGGAGGGGUCGCUGCUGGACUCGUUCCUCGAGAGCUUCCGCGUGGGGCUCAACAUCUCGCACCUGGUGAAGCACAUCGUGGUGGUGGCCAUGGACGAGGGCGCGCUCCGCCGGUGCCGCGCCGUGCACCCGCACUGCCACCUGCUGCUCCCGGACGUCGACGGCCUCGACCUCUCCGGCGCCAAGAGCUACAUGACCAAGGACUACCUCGACCUCGUCUGGAGCAAGCUCCGGCUCCAGCAUCGCGUCCUCCUCCUCGGCUACAACCUCCUCUUCACGGCACGUCGUCUCGUCGCCAAUGCCUGUAGUAAAAGGAGCCGGAGGGAGUACAUGCCAUCUGUGCCAACUUCCAACGAGCGAAAAAUGUCAAGUGGAAGAAACCGUUAUAUGGGCCUAUCAAGUGUUUGA
rnacentral:rRNA from 1 species